rnacentral:rRNA from 1 species
CCUACGGGAGGCUGCAGUGAGGAAUAUUGGUCAAUGGACGAGAGUCUGAACCAGCCAAGUAGCGUGAAGGAUGACUGCCCUAUGGGUUGUAAACUUCUUUUAUAUGGGAAUAAAAUGUUCCACGUGUGGGAUUUUGUAUGUACCAUAUGAAUAAGGAUCGGCUAACUCCGUGCCAGCAGCCGCGGUAAUACGGAGGAUACGAGCGUUAUCCGGAUUUAUUGGGUUUAAAGGGAGCGUAGGUGGAUUGUUAAGUCAGUUGUGAAAUUUUGCGGCUCAACCGUGGAACUGCAGUUGAAACUGGCAGUCUUGAGUACAGUAGAGGUAGGCGGAAUGCGUGGUGUAGCGGUGAAAUGCUUAGAUAUCACGAAGAACUCCGAUUGCGAAGGCAGCUCACUGGACUACGACUGACGCUGAGGCUCGAAAGUGUGGGUAUCAAACAGGAUUAGAUACCCUAGUAGUC